GGUUCAGGAUAGCGGUCUAGGACAAAAUGUUCUCAACGUUUAGAUCACCGGUUCGAAUCCGGUACACGCCA
rnacentral:tRNA from 2 species